CCCGGUGAUUUAACUCAAUGUGUACCACCUCUUUCCAUUUCGAACAGAGAAGUGAAAGCAUUGAGUGCCGAUGGUACUCACCCGAACACGGUGGGAAGAGUAGGAUUCGCCGGGA
rnacentral:rRNA from 1 species